rnacentral:misc_RNA from 1 species
UCCGGUUUAACACCGGCAGUCCCGCUAGAGUGCCCAGCAUAACCUGAUGGCAACUAGAGGCAGGGGUUUCGCUCGUUAGAGGACUUAACCCGACACUUCACAGCACGAGCUGACGACAGCCAUGCAGCACCUGUGCGCGUUCCACCCAGAGGGUGUGGCCGCCUUUUCGGGCGGUUAAUCCGCGCAUGUCAAGCCCAGGAUAAGGUUCUUCGCGUUGCUUCGAAUUGAGCCACAUGCUCCACCGCUUGUGUGAGCCCCCGUCAAUUCCUUUGAGUUUUAAUCUUGCGACCGUACUCCCCAGGCGGCACACUAAUCAAUUUUUCUUCGAUCCCGGUGGCGUCAGAGCCUCCGAGAUCAAGUGUGCAUCGUUUACGGCGUGGACUAC